rnacentral:misc_RNA from 1 species
GCAUCGAUGAAGAACGCAGCGAAAUGCGAUAAGUAAUGUGAAUUGCAGAAUUCAGUGAAUCAUCGAAUCUUUGAACGCACAUUGCGCCCCCUGGUAUUCCGGGGGGCAUGCCUGUUCGAGCGUCAUUUCACCACUCAAGCCUCGCUUGGUAUUGGGCGACGCGGUCCGCCGCGCGCCUCAAAUCGACCGGCUGGGUCUUCUGUCCCCUCAGCGUUGUGGAAACUAUUCGCUAAAGGGUGCCACGGGAGGCCACGCCGAAAAACAAACCCAUUUCUAAGGUUGACCUCGGAUCAGGUAGGGAUACCCGCUGAACUUAAGCAUAUCAAUAAGCGGAGGA